GCCGGCGUACUCCAACUGGCAGAGAGACACGGUUUAGGUCCGUGCAAGUGCGGGUUCGAAUCCCGCCGCCGGCAC
rnacentral:tRNA from 1 species